rnacentral:rRNA from 1 species
GAAGGUCACGACAAGACGAGUCGUUUAUCAUUACGAUAGAUGUCAAGUGGAAGUGUAGUGAUGUAUGCAGCUGAGGCAUCUUAACAGACCGGUAGACUUGAAC